rnacentral:lncRNA from 1 species
GACCACGGCUAGAUAGGCCGCCGGCCAGAUGUGGCGGGGGAGAGCCGGGGCUUUGCUCCGGGUGUGGGGGUUUUGGCCGACAGGGGUUCCCAGAAGGAGACCGCUAAGCUGCGAUGCUGCGUCGCAGGCGGGAAGCAAUUAUCCCCGCUGUUGGAACUGCGGCGGCCCAUGGGGCCCCGGGCGGGAGGACAGGUUCUUCUGCCCACAGUGCCGAGCGCUGCAGGCACCUGACCCCACUCGAGACUACUUCAGCCUUAUGGACUGCAACCGUUCCUUCAGAGUUGAUACAGCGAAGCUCCAGCACAGGUACCAGCAACUGCAGCGUCUUGUCCACCCAGAUUUCUUCAGCCAGAGGUCUCAGACUGAAAAGGACUUCUCAGAGAAGCAUUCGACCCUGGUGAAUGAUGCCUAUAAGACCCUCCUGGCCCCCCUGAGCAGAGGACUGUACCUUGUAAGAAAGAAUUUACUGACAAUGUGAGCAGUGCUUUUGAACAAGAUGACUUUGAAGAAGCCAAGGAAAUUUUGACAAAGAUGAGAUACUUUUCAAAUAUAGAAGAAAAGAUCAAGUUAAAGAAGAUUCCCCUUUAAUUGUGGAUAGUUUAAAGUUUAAAAAAUAAAGUUCUUGCUGGGCACAGUGGCUCACACCUGUAAUCCCAGCACUUUGGGAGGCUGAGGUGGGUGGAUGACAAGGUCAGGAGUUCAAGACCAGCUUGGCCAACAUAGUGAAACCCCGUCUCUGCUGAAAAUACAAAAAUUAGCCGGGCAUGGUGGCGCGUGCCUGUAAUCCCAGCUACUUGGUAGGCCGAGGCAGGAGAAUCGCUUAAACCCGUGAGGUGGAGGUUGCAGUGAGCAGAGAUCACGCAACUGCACUCCAGCUUGGGCAACAGAGUGAGACUUAAUCUUGAAAAAUAAAUAAAUG